UACGUAGGGAGCGAGCGUUGUUCGGAUUUACUGGGCGUAAAGCGUGCGUAGGCGGUGUGUUAAGUUUGUUGUGAAAUCUCCCGGCUUAACCGGGAGGGUGCGGCGAAUACUGAGAUGCUGGAGUGCGGGAGAGGUAAGCGGAAUUCCUGGUGUAGCGGUGAAAUGCGUAGAUAUCAGGAGGAACACCUGCGGUGUAGACGGCUUACUGGACCGUAACUGACGCUGAGGCACGAAAGCGUGGGUAGCAAACAGG
rnacentral:rRNA from 1 species